CUCGCAACCUCUGUCUCGGAACAAUAGUUCAAUCUUUUCAGCAACCUUAAAUAGUGGGCUAUUUAAGGUUGCUGAAACGAUUGAACUAUUGUGACUUGUGAG
rnacentral:pre_miRNA from 1 species